rnacentral:lncRNA from 1 species
AGGCGUCUGCGGCUGAGGACUGCAGCGCUUGAAUCUCAAGACUUUGUCAUCCUGAGUUGCGUAUCUUUCUGAAUUUAGAGUUUCUGUCCUCACUUCCUAUGUUUGAAGGAGACCCGACUUCAGCUCAGCUUUUUGGGGCCUAAGGGUCCAGAAGAACUCUCGCAGGAGGAUGCCUCUCUUCUUUCGGAAGCGGAAACCCAGUGAGGAAGCUCGGAAACGCCUGGAGUACCAGAUGUGUCUGGCAAAAGAAGCUGGGGCAGAUGACAUCCUUGACAUCUCUAAGUGCGAGCUUUCCGAGAUUCCAUUUGGGGCUUUUGCAACGUGCAAAGUUCUACAGAAAAAG